UAUGGCCCAAUUUUGAUUGCUGCAAG
rnacentral:misc_RNA from 1 species